AUUACUACUUUUGUCAGAUUCAAAUUAUUUCUGUGACCAUUGUGGGUUUUCCUUUCAUUAACUGAGGGGGACCAACUAUUUUGUCCAUGUGUGUAUUUACAGAUCUCUAUUUACAGGUACUGUAGUAUUUUGAUUUUUAUCUUUUACAACAAACCUUGGCGUGACACGCUGCUGUUAUCCACAGUCCUCUGGCCCCAGCUGCAUGAUGGGAGGUAAAGGACACACACACACACACACACACACACACACACACACACACACACACACACACACACACACACACACACACACACACUCAGAGAGAAAGAGAGAGAGAGUAUAAAUGUCAGACUGGUUGUGUGACUUUAGUCAGCUGCUGCCCCCUGCUGCUCAAAGCUCAGACUGCAGCUACACACUCCUGUUUUCAGUGUGUGUGUGUGUGUGUGUGUGUGUGUGUGUGUGUGUGUGGUCAGUCUAAAGGUGAACUCACCUGUCCAGAGAGGAGGUGGAGCUCUGACUGUCCCGCAGCUCGAGGUUUUGGGAUGGGGGGAGGAGCCAUCUGGGGGAGAGGCGGAGCCUGUUAGUGAUCAAUUACCAAUCAGAAGGCGUCAUCGUCUCCUAGCAACCAAAGAUCUUCCAUCGAUCUGAUUGGACGCUGCUGACUGAAGGAUCGUUCUGAUCAAUUCAUGAUCAAUAACUGAUGUCAGCGGGAAGGAAGGAAGAACCACGCUGACUCACAACACGACAAUACAACACAACACAUGAACAAUAAUACAACACAAACACACAAACAACACAAGCAAACAAAACACAACACAAAUGACAAACAACACAACCGAAAACAACACAAAUAACAAUUCAAAACAAAACAAAUACAAAUAAGACGACAAAUAAAAACAACACAAACACCAGAAACAAACAACAACACAAACAACUGUCAGCUCCUGAUGAAGAAACUAGCACACCUGUUGGUACCAGAGUCACCUCCUCCAGUUAUUUUAUCUUUCUUAUUUUUUCCUGUCAGACCUCCUCCUCACCUUUAGCUGUCUCACGUUUUCCAUUUGUAGCUGUUUUUCAGAUCCUUUGACUGAAUUUCUCUUUGUUCUCUCUGUCUUUCCCUCCAUUGACCCUUAUAUUUACCUACAGCCCCCUCCCCACCCUCUGAUCCACCCUCUGACAUCCCUAUAAAUUGUGUAACUCUCCAGAUGUUCUGAUCUUUUUACCUUCACAGACUCAUGCUCUGUGUUGUUCAGCCCACCGUAAACCAGAAAACCACUAAACACCCCACUACAGCAGGCAGACUAGCAAGGACUAAUUUCUUCAACACUAUGAUGCCGUGACCCGAAGGCAGCAUACUUCAGAGGAGACUCUUCCCAGACCAAGGACACACCAGUGGACUCAUUCCAGACUGUACUGAGAACUCUGUUGCCUCCAGCCUCACUGACGACAUCACCAAGAUCUAUUCCAAUCAGAAAAAAGCUGUCCAGUCUUUUCCCAGUGAGCCUGCACCAUGAUAACCAGCUAGGAGACUGGAACCUCAUCAGAGAGUUCCAUCACAAGACAUCCUGAACUCCUGCUGGUCUGAACCACACAACAUCCGUCUCACCACCAACACAGCUUCCAGUGUGAAAGGACACACUGGACCACAGAGGACUUCAAGAGGACAGCUUCCCCACCUCCACCAGAGAUCAGCAGGAGGACUCCUCACCACAGCUUUGUCAACAGAGGAGCAGCGUGGACACCCAGAGGAGAGGAGCAAUGUCCAUACUGGAGUUCCAGUUCCAGAUACCCACACAUAACUGUCCCACUAGCACCUUCGGGCCUCCAUACAGAACUCCUCAUCACUGCUUCUGCUCCUCCACCGUGCUGCUGCUCGACUCUCACCUGGAAAGCUGAGAAGCACCUGUUUGGAUUUCAGGAGUUUUCCAGCAGCUUUCCAGAGCUGUGAUUCAUUUCCAGGAAGAACUUGGAGCCUUAAAAUGACUUCUUUCAGUUCCCACUUUAUUAUUGUUUAAUAUUACCAUUAUUAUUAUUAUUUAUUUAUUGUCAUAAUUUCACUUAUUAUGACAACCUGCCCUGAAUUCUGCAUCUGUGUUUUCUUGUCGGAUCAUAAAUCGGUUAAAUCAGGUUUGUUCCUUUUCUGCUGCUGCAGUCGCAUUAAUCCCAGCAGCAGCAGCAGCAGCUUCUAGUAAAGCAUGUGCUGCAGAGGCUGCUUUCCUUUAAACCACGUGGGUCUGAAUGAACUGUUUACCCCUGAACCUCCCUUCCUGCAGCUACUGACAGCUGCUGUGACAUCACGGUGCUGCUCUCUGAUUGGCUGUUGACAUAAACUUUAUCAGGAAGAGGAGGAAGUCCAGAAGAGACGCUGAGAGUUGAAGGAGGCUGCAGGACCGAACAGACAGCUGGACACAGUCCGGUUCCUGCAGCCCAGAGGGUCUAACCCAGGUGGGAUUCUGAGGAAUGAUGAAGCUGGUCAGCGAGGAAAUUCUCCUAGCUGCUCACUGCCUUCAUCCAGACCUGUGUCCUCUGAUAAUUAAUCUGAGUAGUGGUUAAAUUAAUUACCAGUCACGUCUGUUAACGGCAGCUUUCCUCUUAACAAGUCUGGCACUUGGAAACCAACCUGAAGAUCCAGAUUCUCAGCAAGGAAGGGUCCAGCUGCUGCCAGAAAGCCAGGAAGUACUCAGCAGUCCUUCAGUAGCUGGAUCCACUCUGCACAAACAGAAAAAGUUUUGGCAAAGAAAAACCAUUAAAUGAGAAGCUGCUGUUUCCUGUAUAUCCGGAGCCAUGGGGAUCGCACACAGCAUCCACAACAGGACGCCCUACACCUGGUACUACCGCAACAUGACGUCCGACGACAGCGACAGGACGCUGCCAGGUGGCAGCUCCUGUGAGUGCACAGCCGCAAAGAUAGAGACUGACAAGGUGAGGCUGAAGUAUGGAAACCACAGCGACUGGGACCUCAGAUAUAGAGUGAACAGAUAUAGGUAAUCAGACAUAUUGAUC